ACCCUACUGAAUCUAUGCUAAGAUUUCGUCAGACACCAGGCCAUCAGGAUUGGUGAGACUUCUAAGAUAAGUGAAGAG
rfam:Schistosoma haematobium scaffold180_13, whole genome shotgun sequence.